rnacentral:rRNA from 1 species
GACGGAGGGUGCAAGCGUUGUUCGGAAUUACUGGGCGUAAAGGGCGCGUAGGCGGUCUGUUAAGUUCGGUGUGAAAGCCCCGGGCUCAACCUGGGAAUUGCAUUCGAGACUGCAUUGCUGGAGUACGGAAGAGGAAGGCGGAAUUCCCGGUGUAGCGGUGAAAUGCGUAGAUAUCGGGAGGAACAUCAGUGGCGAAGGCGGCCUUCUGGUCCAGUACUGACACUCAAGUGCGAAAGCGUGGGGAGCAAACAGG